rnacentral:rRNA from 1 species
GAUGAACGCUGGCGGCGUGCCUAAUACAUGCAAGUCGAGCGAACAGACGAGGAGCUUGCUCCUCUGACGUUAGCGGCGGACGGGUGAGUAACACGUGGAUAACCUACCUAUAAGACUGGGAUAACUUCGGGAAACCGGAGCUAAUACCGGAUAAUAUAUUGAACCGCAUGGUUCAAUAGUGAAAGACGGUUUUGCUGUCACUUAUAGCUGGAUCCGCGCCGCAUUAGCUAGUUGGUAAGGUAACGGCGUACCAAGGCAACGAUGCGUAGCCGACCUGAGAGGGUGAUCGGCCACACUGGAACUGAGACACGGUCCAGACUCCUACGGGAGGCAGCAGUAGGGAAUCUUCCGCAAUGGGCGAAAGCCUGACGGAGCAACGCCGCGUGAGUGAUGAAGGUCUUCGGAUCGUAAAACUCUGUUAUUAGGGAAGAACAAAUGUGUAAGUAACUAUGCACGUCUUGACGGUACCUAAUCAGAAAGCCACGGCUAACUACGUG